AGAGUUUGAUCAUGGCUCAGGAUGAAUGCUGGCGGCGUGUCUAAGGCAUGCAAGUCGAACGGAUCGUUUUUUGUAGCAAUACUUGAAACGGUUAGUGGCAAACGGGUGCGUAACACACUGGUACCUGCCUCGUAGUCGGGCAUAAGCCUUCGAAAGGAGGUCUAAUUCCACGAUGGUCUCGCAAGAGUAAAGUCGUAAGACGCUACGAGAGGGGCCUAUGGCCUAUCAGCUUGUUGGCGGGGUAAAAGCCCACCAAGGCGAUGACGGGUAUGGGGUGUGAGAGCACGACCCCACUCACUGGGACUGAGACACUGCCCAGACACCUACGGGUGGCUGCAGUCGAGAAUAUUCCCCAAUGGCCGAAAGGCUGAGGGAGCGACGCCGCGUGCGGGAAGAAGGCCUUCGGGUCGUAAACCGCUUUUACCAAGGACGAAUACUGACGGUACUUGGAGAAUAAGAGGUUGCUAACUCUGUGCCAGCAGCAGCGGUAAUACAGAGACCUCGAGCAUUAUCCGGAUUUAUUGGGCGUAAAGGGUCCGCAGGUGGCCGUUCACGUCGAUGGUUAAAUUUCAGGGCUCAACCCUGAAACCGCCACCGAUACGGUUCGGCUCGAGCAUGGGAGAGGUACGCGGAAUUACCGGUGUAGUAGUAAAAUGCGUUAAUAUCGGUAAGAACACCAAAUGCGAAGGCAGCGUACUGGAACAUUGCUGACACUCAGGGACGAAAGCGUGGGGAGCGAACGGGAUUAGAUACCCUAGUAGUCC
rnacentral:rRNA from 1 species